rnacentral:rRNA from 1 species
AUGGUAGGAUAGAGGCCUACCAUGGUUUUAACGGGUAACGGGGAAUUAGGGUUCGAUUCCGGAGAGGGAGCCUGAAAAACGGCUACCACAUCCAAGGAAGGCAGCAGGCGCGCAAAUUACCCAAUCCCGACACGGGGAGGUAGUGACAAUAAAUAACAAUAUGGGGCUCUUACGAGUCUCGUAAUUGGAAUGAGUACAAUUUAAAUCUCUUAACGAGGAACAAUUGGAGGGCAAGUCUGGUGCCAGCAGCCGCGGUAAUUCCAGCUCCAAUAGCGUAUAUNAAAGUUGUUGCAGUUAAAAAGCUCGUAGUUGAAUUUCGGAAUCUGUCCGUCGGUCGGGCUUCACUGUCCGUACUGGUGUGAUGGGUUUCUACCUUCUGAAUAACCGGCAUGUCAUUAAUUUGGUGCGCCGGGGAAGCAGAACUAUUACCUUGAAAAAAUUAGAGUGCUUAAAGCAGGCUAUCGCCUGAAUAGAUNAGCAUGGAAUAAUAAAAUAGGACGGCAUGGUUCUAUUUUGUUGGUUUCUAGGAUCACCGUAAUGAUUAAUAGGGAUAGUUGGGGGCAUUAGUAUUCAAUUGUCAGAGGUGAAAUUCUUGGAUUUAUUGAAGACUAACUUCUGCGAAAGCAUUUGCCAAGGAUGUUUUCAUUAAUCAAGAACGAAAGUUAGGGGAUCGAAGACGAUCAGAUACCGUCGUAGUCUUAACCAUAAACUAUGCCGACUAGGGAUCGGACGAUGUUAAUUUUUUAAUGACUCGUUCGGCGCCUUACGGGAAACCAAAGUGUUUGGG